CCUACGGGGGGCAGCAGUGGGGAAUAUUGGACAAUGGGCGAAAGCCUGAUCCAGCCAUGCCGCGUGUGUGAAGAAGGCCUUCGGGUUGUAAAGCACUUUCAGUGGGGAAGAAAGCCUUGGGGCUAAUACCCUCGAGGAAGGACAUCACCCACAGAAGAAGCACCGGCUAACUCCGUGCCAGCAGCCGCGGUAAUACGGAGGGUGCGAGCGUUAAUCGGAAUUACUGGGCGUAAAGCGCGUGUAGGCGGUCUGAUAAGCCGGUUGUGAAAGCCCCGGGCUCAACCUGGGAACGGCAUCCGGAACUGUCAGGCUAGAGUGCAGGAGAGGAAGGUAGAAUUCCCGGUGUAGCGGUGAAAUGCGUAGAGAUCGGGAGGAAUACCAGUGGCGAAGGCGGCCUUCUGGACUGACACUGACGCUGAGGUGCGAAAGCGUGGGUAGCAAACAGGAUUAGAUACCCUAGUAGUC
rnacentral:rRNA from 1 species